rnacentral:rRNA from 1 species
UCUACCUAGUAGUACGGAAUAAUUGUUGGAAACGGCAACUAAUACCGUAUACGCCCCACGGGGGAAAAAUUUAUUGCUAUUAGAUGAGCCUAUAUUAGAUUAGCUUGUUGGUAGGGUAAUAGCUUACCAAGGCAAUGAUCUAUAGCUGAUCUGAGAGGAUGAUCAGCCACACUGGAACUGAGAUACGGUCCAGACUCCUACGGGAGGCAGCAGUGGGGAAUAUUGGACAAUGGGCGAAAGCCUGAUCCAGCUAUGCCGCAUGAGUGAAGAAGGCCUUUGGGUUGUAAAGCUCUUUUAGUGAGGAAGAUAAUGACGGUACUCACAGAAGAAGUCCUGGCUAACUCCGUGCCAGCAGCCGCGGUAAUACGGAGAGGGCUAGCGUUAUUCGGAAUUAUUGGGCGUAAAGGGCGCGUAGGCUGACUAAUAAGUUAAAAGUGAAAUCCCGAGGCUUAACCUUGGAAUUGCUUUUAAAACUGUUAAUCUAGAGAUUGAAAGAGGAUAGAGGAAUUCCUAGUGUAGAGGUAAAAUUCGUAAAUAUUAGGAGGAACACCAGUGGCGAAGGCGUCUAUCUGGUUCAAAUCUGACGCUGAGGCGCGAAGGCGUGGGGAGCAAACAGGAUUAGAUACCCUGGUAGUCCACGCUGUAAACGAUGAAUGUUAAAUAUGGGAAAUUUAUUUUCUGUAUUACAGCUAACGCGUUAAACAUUCCGCCUGGGGACUACGGUCGCAAGAUUAAAACUCAAAGGAAUUGACGGGGACCCGCACAAGCGGUGGAGCAUGUGGUUUAAUUCGAUGCAA